CACGUCCUCCAAGGCUGCAGCAGGGUGGGAGAAAGCAGAAACGGUGGGCUAGCUCGCCCUGCAAGCUGCUGGUGUUCCCCAGGCCCCACACCAGGGAAGACUCCAGAAUGGACACACAGGGGAGAACAUGAGAGGCAUGAAAGAGCAGCAAGAACAAGAACAAAAAUAAAUUACCAGUUUUGUGCUGGGGGGUGGGGGAAAAGGCAGCAAGAAAGACUUAGGUUAGGCGAGGGGGAAAAACUUCCCAUCAGGGACUAUAGGGGAAGGUCUCAAAUAUAAAGGUCAGGAGCUUGGGCUCUGGAGGCUGACUGGCUGAGCUCUGAUGCCACUUCCUCACUGCAUGGCUUUAGGCGGGCAUGUACAAUGAGGAUAAUAAUAGUCCCCACUUCACGGUGUCAUUGUCAUUGAGGAUUAAAGGAAAGAAUGUGUGUCAGGUGCUUAGCAAAGGGCACAGCACUAGUACAUGUUCAAGACAUGAUGGCCGUAUCGACAGCAGUAGGCAAGAAGACUCAGGAAAAGGUCUGUGAGCCAGAGUUUGGGGUUGGGGAGCCAGGACUGAACAACAAGGGGGGAUCUUAGGGGCCCAGAGACUUCCAAAUGCUCCAUGAGGACUGAGAAUUUUCCAUUCGUUCACUGCCACUCUCAGUGCCAAGAGUAGUGCUAGAACAUAGUAAUGACUCAGUCAAUCUUGGUUGCUAACAAAAUGACUUUUCCAAGCACUUGCAUUAUUUACCAAAUGACUUAUCUGUCAAGCGGUCUCACCGUACAGGCAGGGCCUGGGCCCUUAUGCCCUUUGGACACAUGGGAAGAGUGGGGCCUUGACACCUGAGCUGCUGACAAGGUCACACAGUUAGGGAAGAGGAAGGGAAGUCACUGGACUACAUUCAGUGUGCUUUCCCUCUUGACAGUGUCUGAUUGUCCCACACAUGGUCCAGAUUCCUCGGAACUCCCUUGUAGGACACUGGGCCCAUCCAGAGACACUCAGAGACCCCCAAGACAGGGGCAAUGCUGGGAGGGCACAGGAAUAUGAAGGAUCAAGGAUGGUGGAUACCAGUUCUGUUGUCCUUCAUGUUCUCCUCGUUCUCAUCAGGAGCAUAGUUGGAGAGGAAGUUGGCAAAGGAGCCAUUGCGCUGCAGCAGGGCUGGGUAGGAGCCCACCUCAGAAACCUGCCCGUCAGCCAGCACUAUGAUGAAGUCCAUCUGGGGCAGGAAGCUGAUGCUGUGUGUCACCAGCACCCGUGUCUAGGGAGAAGACAGCAGGCUACCAUUUCCACCAUCCUUAGCACAUACCCCUGGCACAGGCACAGGGCCACAGGGGAGGUAUCGUCAGCCCCACUUUCUAGGUGAAGAAAUUAGAGCCCAAGACAUUAAUGACUUUGUCCAAGGUCCUGAACUAUUCAGGGCAGAAGCAAGAAUGGAAACCCAGCACCAACCCCCAAAUUUGUCAACUCUGCGAUUGUUCAGGAGCCACAGAAGAGGAUGUUUCUAGACCUCCACGGCUCCUGCUCCAGGCCCUUCCCCUCUGUCUCAGCCUCCGUUCUUAGCGCUCACUAACAAACUCCAAGUCGCCUUCUUCAGGCUCCAUUUUCCUGGCAGCUUGUAGCACUGGAGCCAACCAACAACUGCCUAUCCAGCAAACUUGAUGACCUCCCUGGCUACCUGCUUCCGGUCCUUCCCAGGCUGGCUUCCCUGCUCCUCCCUGGGAUUUCCAGACACCCGAGCACACCUCUGCCUCUAAUGGUUUCUCUUGCAAGACUUUGACACCUUGUCUUAUGCGUCUUAUGUGUCUGUAUCCCUAGCAUCUAGCACCAUUCCAGUAUACUGGAGGCCCAAUCAGUAUUUUUUGAAUGAGAAUGGAUGUGUGCAUGAAUGCAGUGACAAGAUGUGUGUGUGUGUGUGGGGGGGGGUGCUAAGCUGCUAGGCAGCUCUCCUUCUUACCCUAUCAUCUGAGAGCUCCUUCCAGCCCAAGCCACUCAUGUGGCAGAUAACAGGGUCUACCAACUGGGAAGAGCACCGGAGCCGGAGCGCAGAGCCCUGGACUCCCAACCAU